rnacentral:rRNA from 1 species
CGGCGGUGCAUAAUACAUGCAAGUCGAGCGGACAGAUGGGAGCUUGCUCCCUGAUGUUAGCGGCGGACGGGUGAGUAACACGUGGGUAACCUGCCUGUAAGACUGGGAUAACUCCGGGAAACCGGGGCUAAUACCGGAUGSUUGUUUGAACCGCAUGGUUCAGACWUAAAAGGUGGCUUCGGCUACCACUUACAGAUGGACCCGCGGCGCAUUAGCUAGUUGGUGAGGUAACGGCUCACCAAGGCRACGAUGCGUAGCCGACCUGAGAGGGUGAUCGGCCACACUGGGACUGAGACACGGCCCAGACUCCUACGGGAGGCAGCAGUAGGGAAUCUUCCGCAAUGGACGAAAGUCUGACGGAGCAACGCCGCGUGAGUGAUGAAGGUUUUCGGAUCGUAAAGCUCUGUUGUWAGGGAAGACSAAGUGCCGUUCAAAUAGGGCGGCACCUUGACGGUACCUAACCAGAAAGCCACGGCUAACUACGUGCCAGCAGCCGGCGGUUAAUASGUAGGUGGCAGCGUGUCCGGAUUAUGGGCGUAAGGCUCSCAGSGGGUCUAGUYGAUGUAGCCCCCGGCUAACGGGAGGUCAUGGAACUGCACUGAUGCGAAUGAGUGCAUACAGGUUAC